ensembl:lncRNA
AUGCAUCUCCUCAAUCCAUUAUACAAACAUGGAGCACUUUCGGUAGAAAAGCAUGCAUCUCUCGAUGCUGUUUUCUUAGGAGAGAAGCCCAAACAUGAUGGGCCUGUUUAUUCGCAGAGAAUACGCCUUUGUCUGGGCCUCCCAGGUAAGAUAAAGGAGACAGACAGAGAGAGGGCCUUACAGGACCACCAGUGUUGCGUGCAUGUAUGUGUGUGUGUGUGUGGCCGUGUUUGCCUGUGUGUUUGUUGCUGGGCGUGUUUGUGUACAUAUGCAAACAUGUGUGACUAAUUCAGUCAGCAGGACUUUGUAUGGGAUCGUUCUGUGAGCUAGGAGGCGUAGUAACUCGAUCACUGUCACUCUAAACAGCACAUUUACCCUGGUCUCUCCUCAAAGCCGUGCUUGAGCCUCAUGCAAAACCAACAGAGGAGCGGAGGAGGAUAGCACGUGAGUGACCGGAGGAGAGUCUGCAGGUAAGAAAAAUGAAAAACGAAAGCAAUUUAAAGGGAAAACUUUGUACCUCAGUUACAGUUAUUGCACGUUUUCUGAAAAUGUACGAAUGAGCCACCUUUGAGCAAACAUGCCACACUUUACUGGGUAAUGGAUGCUAAAUUAAAACACACAGCCCUCUCUGGAAUAUAAUAUAGUUUACUAAACAGACAAAAAUCCAUCAGUGUGACGCUGUCAUGGGCCAAUAACUCCUGAAAUAAACAAACAUCGUCUGUCUGUUGUUACUGCUGCGGCUAAAAAUGAUAACUCCGCAGCAAAAGAACUUAAUGAAAUGAUUUCUGAUAUGAGUAUCCUGAAGCUGGAGCUGUUGACAUUGCUGACACGCUGGCACAAUGACUGCCUAAAUGCAACGUUUUUCCUGCUUACACUGAAGGAAAAUAUUCAGCCAAAGGAAAAACGUUCUGCUACCUACAUUUUUGCAAAACUCAAAACAAAUGUACCUGUACUUACAAUUCACUGCAGUUUUCAGCUUUAAUAAACAGAUUUUUGAAAUCACUAAAGUCAAAGUAUAUUAUAAGGAACAAUUCUCACUAUUAACUUAAUUUGCUGAUUAGCAUGCAUAUUACUAGCAUAUUGGCUGUUUAUUAGUAGGCUACUUAUAAGGCUCAUAUCAUAUUUCUAGAUCCCUCAUACCUAAACUUAACAACUAAUGUACUAGUAAUAAGCAGGAGUUUAGGUGUUUAUUGAGACAAGAGCCAUA